rnacentral:pre_miRNA from 1 species
UGCCGAGGAAAUUCUCGGGAGUUAACUGCCGCCGGUUUUCUAAAACUUCGACAGUUAACUGCCGAGGGGCAU